GGGGUUUAUGUGCAAGUGUAAAUAUAGCUAAACACGAUAUCAUUUUAUCAAAACCACAACAAAAUAGACAUCGUUCUAACUUUGUACUCAGAAUUAAAUCCCUAAAUCAUCUGUAAUAUGUGGCGAAUGAUUCAGUGCUAAUCCAACAAGCAGACAGUGUUUCAACAUUGCUUUGACUUGGAUGAACAAAGCUACUUAACCAAGAACACAAGCACAUAAACCCCGCUCAACAGGACUAGUCAAUGACAGCAAUCAUAUAUGAAUCAAUAAGAAGAAAGGCAUUUCUCAUCCAACCACGCCAUCAUGCCUUGAUGGGCUCAUACCUUUCACCAAUUGCUCCACCUUUCUGUUUCUGGAACUGAAUGUACCGCAGUGUGCUGGCAAAGAAAGCAUCAGCACCAGGGUCUGGUGUAACAGAUUCACUUUGCAUCUCAGUCUUAAUCAAUUCAAUCAGGCUCUGGAUUACAGCAGCAGUUAUCUGCGGGUUUUCCUUCUCAAAGAAAUAAAGAUACUUGUUCAGAAUCUCAACAAAGAGCAUGGCCGAUCCAGUGCUACCUCGUGCCGCAUUGGACAUUUGUUGAGCAGCAUUGGCAAUUCUUAGAGCACGCUUUAGGCAAAUUAGAACCCUCUCUCCAUCUUUCAUGUUAUCUUGAUCAUCAACCCAAAAGAGAUGUGCACACCCAUAAACAGCUCUGCAUUGAUCAGGCUUCUUUAAAAGCUUAGCAGA
rnacentral:misc_RNA from 1 species